CCGGCGGCGCAGGUGCAGGUGCCGGCGGUGCAGGUGCCGGCGGCGCAGGAGCCGGCGGCGCAGGAGCCGGCGGCGCAGGUGCCGGACCAUAAGUAGGUCGCAUGAAACUUGUGUACCAUGAUUAAUAAAAUAAGCCAACGUU